UACGUAGGGUGCGAGCGUUGUCCGGAAUUACUGGGCGUAAAGAGCUCGUAGGUGGUUUGUCGCGUUGUCCGUGAAAACUCACAACUCAAUUGUGGGCGUGCGGCGAUACGGGCAGACUGGAGUACUGCAGGGGAGACUGGAAUUCCUGGUGUAGCGGUGAAAUGCGCAGAUAUCAGGAGGAACACCGGUGGCGAAGGCGGGUCUCUGGGCCGAUACUGACGCUGAGGAGCGAAAGCGUGGGGAGCGAACAGG
rnacentral:rRNA from 1 species